rnacentral:lncRNA from 1 species
CACACUGAAUAACAUCUUUUGGUGCUGUGAAAGCCAGCCAACAUGGUGAAAACUUCUUGAGAAGUACCAACUUGAUCACUUUAAAUCCCAUGAAGAAAGUAUGUAGUGUCUUCAGCAAUAAGCUCUUACCAUCAGACUGUGGUGGACAACUAUCUGUGGGACCCCUCUGACCAACAAAUUAAAGGUUAUUUUUAUUCAGGGAGAAGUCACUUACAUGAGAAACCUAUGACCCACAAUUUCCAGCUCCAAGGAUCCACAUCCAGAUGUUCCAUGACCCAACUGGAACCAAGAGAGAGCAAGCCUGUUCCAGACCCCAGACCAAAUCCCACAAGCUCAUGUAUGCACCUGUGACCAUGCCCAUUUGAUGGAUUAAAUAAAAUCCAUCCUGCUUAAUACAUUGGUGGUUUAACAAUAG